UGUCGAGUUUGCCGUUUCUGUAGCAAUAGUGGUUUUACAGGGUGGGGGUCGCUAGCCCCACGCCAAACCCUCCUCCUUUUUCACCCAGGCUUGGGAUUUAAAUGGCUUUUAAAAAUAUUUUAAUUAUAGCACAUGAUGGAGGAUGGGAUAUUGCUCAUGACAUCUUAAAAGAUAAAAAAAAAUGAGCUAAAUCUGUUUAUGCUAUUGGGUAUGUUGGUUAAGUUUUUUACUCCCCAAAGCUAGUGAUGAUGAGAUAGAAACAGAUAAAAAGACAACACCACAUAAUUAUUUUCAAUUUUCCCUAAUGCCAUUAGAGAGUGGAAUGGGAUGCCUCAAUCGGCCAGGAAAACCAAUGACUUAGUAGAGUUGAAGUAACUUAUUAACAUGCCUGACUAGAUUGAUCAUGAAAUGCAUAGGACAUAAUUAUAUUCUAUUUUGAAAUAAUGCCUGUAAUCUAGAAGAUAUGAAGAUUGUGUUUGUCCUGUUCUUUUUGGUCUUCCUCUGUGCCUUGUGUCUGUGGGUUCCCAUCUGAAGCCUGAAUAGCUCUUUUGUUGGCAUUUUUAUUUUAGGUGUAACUUGUGUAUUGUUCACUAUUUAUUAAGUUUUGAAAGUGGCUGAGUUUGGAAAGACCUAAUCAACUUUCUAACAAACAGCUCUGCUAGCUUGUAGACAUCUAGGUGAACAUAUAAGGAUAUCUAGCAUGUAAUAAAUUCUAUGAAACUUUUAAAAGAAUAAGUAUAUUAUUAUGAGGUUGUUUUUAGAAUAAAGGCAUAUAUUAAUAUAUUUAAAUAGUUUGUACAUUUUGGAAAGUGUUAUGCAAAAGUGAUUCUGUUCACAGCUUCCAUUAUCCAAGGACAUAUGAUUCUCUGGAGGCUUACAUCACUGGAAAAAGUCUUUGGGCCCCUGAAGAUUACAGUACAUGUAAUGCUGCAAAAGGAGGAGGAUGCUGGGCCAGGCACAUACAACUCAAUUUACUUCUAUUGGCUGGAAAUAUUUAAAGCAUGACAGUGGCGUAGGUAAACUACCAAAUAGUGGAUCUUAUGUUGGAUUGAUCAGCUCUGAUGAACUGACCUGACCGUUGUAAUUGAAACCAUAACUCAUGACCACUCUAUCUGUAUAGGUCCUGGUAUACCCUGGGAUGAUGUUCACCCACAACUUUUAACUUGAAAUCUUAAAGGAAGUUUUGCUAAACUAACAAGCAUGAAUGUCUGGUACAGUAAGAUAGGGUUAAUGGUCAACCUGACAUUAUGGUUCAUUCAUUUGGGACAGCUAAUGUUUGUGUCUGAUCAAGCAGUUCUCAAGUUAGGGCUUGAUGAAGUCUACAAACUGACCAUUAUAUCUACUGGACAAAAAAGGAUCUUAUAUGUAUAUUUUAAACCUGGUCAAUGCCUAUUUCUCCACUAUUGUCGACAUCUUGAGACAUCACCAUUGGCAGAAACCGAAGACGGCUGAUACAUUUGUGUGGGUGAAAAACUGAAGGCGUCGCUCGAAGACAGCUGAUACAUUUGUGUGGGUGAAAAACUCAAGGCUUCGCUCGAAGACAGAUGAUACAUCGUUUCCACGUGAGCGCUCGUCACCAACUUUUGACACGCUCUUGCAUUGUCGAGGUUUCACCUUACAUUGCUAUACAGAAGGUCCUCCAUUUAGACCUCUGUUCACAUAUGGUCAUUCUAAUUUUUCAGAGACUUUACAUAUUUGGAUUAUCUAAGCUGAAGUUCUCCACUUAAGUACUGUUGGAUUAUUUAUACGAAUGUUCAAGUACUUUUGGAUUAUUGAUCAUUGACGUUGAAGUUGGACUAACUUGUACCUAUUGGCGCUCUCCUAGUCAUCGUUGUACGACGAAGAAAUAACACAUGCCUGCAUUACUACACUUACAUUUUGGAUUAUCUUAUUGGAUUAUUUGGAUUACCUGUUGGACUUGUGUUAAUUGUAAAGGUCAAGAGGAAAUAUUUUUUGACAUUACUUGAGCAUUUGAGCCAUCUUAUGGCAUAUGACUGGAUUAUUUUACUACUACUUUGAUGCUCACAUUGAUGUGUAUUCUCAAUCGGAUUACUUAGUUACCUUACCCAUGGAUUAUUAUUGAACUACUCAAGCUGUAUUUGUAUUUGACAAGCUACAAGAGAGGAUUAAUCUACAUCAGUCUACAAAAGAAAGUCUGUAAGUUAUAAUUAAGGAUUGAAUAUAUUCAUAUGAUUAAUAAAGUACAUUGAUUUUGCUGUGGUAUAGCAGUAAUUGAAGUUGAUUAUAUAUAGAGUUAGUGAUUGAUAACUCUUGGAACCAUAUUAAAUUGAUUUUCAUUUUUUAUAUUUGUUACCUUAAAGGGCGGUCGGCGUGGGUCUGUCUUAUGUUUUGAGACUGAAUCGGCACAAUUUAUUUGUUCCGUUCGUUUUCACUUCAUCUGAUAGGGAUCUUUAGGGAUUUUCUUGUUGUUCUCCUAGUCCUAAUAAGGUCCGAGUAGACCAGCCUUGUUCAGUAGGGACUUCUAGAUCAUUUUGAAAUUUUUUGUUUAGUGGUAUAUAGUUUUGUUUGUACAAUCGUAGUGUGAUUUCUCUUUGUAUUCAUAUUGUUUGUUUGUGUAAGUCUUGUAUUUACAUAUCUGUGAUUCUCUUGUCAAAGUCUUCUAUUUAUUGAUUUCUUUUAAAGCAGACUGUAUUGUUAUCUAUAUAUAUUGUUUUUGUGUUCGUCACCUAUACUUUAAUUUAUCUCUUUAUUCUCUCAUUAAUUAAUUUUUUUUUUCAUUUUUUCACUGCACAUUUAACAUGUUACAAAGAUAUAUUUGAAGUAAUAAUAUUGUGUACAUAUAUACUAUCACUUGAAUUAGAGCCUUAUUUUUUGAGCUCUUGUACUUAUUUUGUAUUGACACAUUUCUCGUACUCUGAUUAUUUUGUUGGUACAUUUUGAUGCAACACUUAUUACUAUUGACUCAUUUGUACAUUGUAUUUGGCACACAUUGAUUACAAACUCAACACAUUUAUUGGCCAUCUAUUAUUUAAAUAUCAAAGAUACAUGCAAAGUGAGACAUUAUUAUUUGUAUUUUGAUAACUAAGCACUCACUACACAGUUAAUACUACAUACAGAUUGGAAUCCUAUAUAUUUGUUGACUUUAUACACGUUGAAGAUUAUUUAAUAUUUAUUGACAUUAUACACACUUGAAGCCUAAACCCAUACCUAUCAACAAUGUCUACCUAUGAUAAAAUCUUGGAGUUGGCCAGAGAAAUGGAAUUGAAGGGUGAAAAGAAAAGAGAAUUUAUCGAAAGAGAAUUGGAUGAAUUAAAGAAGAAAGAAUGUGAAGUAGCGGAACGAGAUGAACGAGCGGCAGAAAGAGCGCAUCAGAAAGAAAUGAAAGAAAUAGAGGGAAAAGUUGAGUUAGCUAAACUGGAAGCUGCAAAAGUGAAUCCGAACAUAUUACAACGACUGACACAGCAAGCCAAACCAUACGUCUCGAAGUUCCAUAAGUUCAAUGAGAAAAACGAAACUCUUGAAAACUACAUUGUGCAAUUUGAGCACAAAGCCUCAACGUAUGACAUGUCUCCUAGAGAUAUGGCCAAGCACCUACUCGCCAAUCUUGCAGGUGAACCGCUGAACAUAAUAGCCACCCUGACACCUGAACAAAAGACUGACUACAAGGCUGUGAAAAACAGACUCCUCGAACACUUUGGCAAAUCCGAGGACCACUACAGAAAACUCUUUCGAGACAUCAGAUUGCAAAAGAACGGUGAUUACAACAGAAUUAUUUUUGAAAUUAAGCAAAAUAUCUUAAAGUGGCUUGAACUCUUCAACUGUGAUAUGACGAGACCAGACCAAAUCAUUGAUAUGUUCUUAAUUGACAGUGUACUAUUGAAUGUUACAGACAACAUUUUCACUUUCCUGAAAGAGAAGAAAAUUAAAAACGAAACAGAACUCAUAACUAACCUGAAUUUAUUCAAAGACAGCCAUCCCAAUCACACCAUCGACAGAAGAGACCAUCAUUAACACUGAUUCAAGUAAAUUCAAAUACAGCAGCAACAAUAAAACCUGCUUUAACUGCGGCAUAAAGGGUCACAUAAAGAGCCAAUGUAGAUCAAUCAACAGAAGCACUUUCCAGUAUCAAAGUGGCACAUAUCGAGACAAUAAAUAUGACAACAGAAGAAACAGCAGAGCAACCCAAAGUUACAGCCCUAAUGAUAGAAGAAGGCAAUACAACACCAACAACGAUAAUUACAACUUCCAGAACUAUCAAAGAAGACAGCAAUACAAUACCAACAACUUUCAGAACUAUCACAGACAAUCCAGACGUGAUGGCUACGAACGAAACAGAUACAACAGAAAUACUUCAAACAGAUGGCAAAGUAACAGCAACAAUAGAAUCCAUAGACGCCCUAGCAGUUAUGACAACUCAGCCGCAACCAUCGACACUCACGAACACGAACAUGUAGCAUUCAUGAACUCAACUCCAGAAAAUAAUUCCUAUCCAUUACUUACAAACGGGCUGGACAACGCAUCACGAAACAGUAACAUUAGAACUGGAAACACACAUGACACUAGUAGUUAGCAAGCUAGACAUAGGGCAGCACAACAUACAAUUUUGUUUAUUAUACAAUAGGAUACAACACCAUCACAAAAUCACUAAAUAUCAGUAAUAUAACUAAACAAUGACAUUGUUCACUUAAGUCAACAACUAUAAUUAUCACACUAUUUUACAUAACACUAGCACCGUUAAGGACUCAUUAGCCAGUACAAGUGUAAUUCAUUGAAUCUGUUGAUGCCAUAUUCUACAUAUAACUUUGAUUGUAUUUGUACACAUGACACUUCAAAAGGUCAUAUGUGCCCAAUUUUUGCAUAUGUGUAAAUUAUUUUUCCAAGAGUCCAUUUGAACAGAACGCAGUCAUAUUAAAACCUGAGUAUGUGACACUAUUUAUUGAAAUGUAUUUUUCAUUUUUUCAAAUGUACAUAACCUUUGUAAAUUGUAUAGAUAUAACUGUGACAUUGAUCUUCACUGAUGAAUUUAUUUUUUCCCACAUAUCAGUUUUGAAGACUAUUUGAGCUUAAUUCGAGGCUUGAAACGAUACACUUGAUGAUAUGUAAUGCAAACAAUGAUUUUUUGAAAAGAAUAUUGUAUUUAAUUAGUGAGAUCUAUUUGAGCAUUACUGAUGGCUUGAAAAAUAAUUGAUACUGUGUAAUGCAAACUGAAUCUUUGAAUAGAAGAUUGUACUUAAUAUGAGAAGUAUUGGAGCAUUAUUGAUGGCUCAUGAAGUAAUAUAUAUAAUGUGUGAUGUAAUCGCUGAUUUUUUUAGGAGAAGAUUGUAUUUAAUAUGAGAAAAUUAUUUGAGCAUUAUUGAUGGCUCGUGAAGCAAUACAUUUGAUGUGUGUCGUAGACACUGACUUUUUGAGAAGAUUGUAUUUAAUAUGAGAAAAUUAUUGGAGCAUUAUUGAUGGCUCGUGAAGUAAUAUAUUUGAUGAUGUGUGAUGUAGACACUGAUAUUUUUUGAGGAGAAGAUUGUAUUUAAUGACAAAACUUUUGGAGCAUUAUUGAUGGCUCAAGCAGUAUAUUUUAUAUUAUGUGAUGAUAACACUAAUUUUGAGAAGAAUAUUGUAUGGAUAUGAGAAAACUAUCGAAGCAUGAUUAAUGGCUCGAAGUAAUAUACUUGAUUUUUGAAAGAACAUUGUACUUGAUUCAUGAAGACUAUUGGAGCACUAUUAAUGGCUCAAAGUAAUAUAUUUGAUUUUUGAAUAGAACAUUGUAUUUGAGUGAUGAAGACUAUUAGAGCACUAUUAAUGGCUCGAA